AUGCUGGAAGCCACCCCCAGCAGCUGCUCCCAGGAUCAGGGGCCCGAACCCCUCUCUUCCCUUAGCUGGCUCAGUGUACAAAGCUUCCCAGCCGCCCGGCCCCGACUGCCAGCUCUCCUUCGUCGCGCCGCCACCGUGCUCUCCUUCCGCGUCCCGCUCGCGCCCAUCCCGGACCCGCAGCAGCUGCAACUCUCGCCGCUGAAGGGGCCCAGCCUGGUCGACGAGGAGGACACGGCCCCGGCCCUGAAGGAGACCCGCGCCCUGGCCAGCAAGACCGCGAGGAGGAUCUUCCAGGAGCCCACGGAGCCGAAAACUAGAGCGGCCCCGCACGGAGAGGCGGAUGAGCCGCUGCUGAGAGAAACCGCGCCGCUUUGUCAUUUUCCCCAUCGAGUACCACGAUAUCUGGCAGGUGUAUAAGAAGACGGAGGCCUCCUUUUGGACCGCCGAAGAGGUGGACCCGUCCAAGGACAUUCGGCACUGGGAAUCCCUGAAGCCCGAGGAGAGACACUUUAUAUCCCACGUUCUGAGUUUCUUUGCAGCAAGUGACGGCAUAGUAAAUGAAAACUUAGUGGAGCGAUUUAGCCAAGAAAUUCGGAUUACAGAGGCCCGCUGUUUCUAUGGAUUCCAAAUUGGCAUGGAAAACAUACAUUCUGAAAUGUAUAGUCUCCGUAUUGACACGUAUAUAAAAGAUCGCAGCGAAAGGGAAUUUCUCUUCAAUGCCAUUGAAACGAUGCCUUGUGUCAAGAAGAAGGCAGACCGGGCCUUGCGCUGGACUGGGGACAAAGAGGCUACCUAUGGUGAACUGCCUUUGCUGCAGUGGAAGGCGUCUUCUGUUCUGGUUCUUUAGCUUCCAUAUUCUGGCUUAAGAAACGAGGACUGAUGCCUGGCCUCACAUUUUCUAAUGAACUUUUUAGCAGAGAUGAGGGUUUACACUGUGAUUUUGCUUGCCUGAUGUUCCAACACCUAGUACACAAACCAUCAGAGGAGGGAGUAAGAGAAAUAAUUAUCAAUGCUGUUCGGAUAGAACAGGAGUUCCUCACCGAGGCCUUGCCUGUGAAGCUCAUUGGGAUGAAUUGCACUCUAAUGAAGCAAUACAUUGAGUUUGUGGCAGACAGACUUAUGCUGGACCUGGGUUUUAGCAAGGUUUUCAGAGUAGAGAGUCCAUUUGACUUUAUGGAGAAUAUUCCACUGGAAGGAAAGAUUAACUUCUUUGAGAAGAGAGUAGGCGAGCAUUAGAGGAUGGGAGUGGUGUCAAGUCCCACAGAGAAUUCUUUUACCUUGGAUGCUGACUUCUAAAUGAACUGAAGAUGUGCCUUUAUUUUGCCGAGUUUUUUUCCAUCUCAUGAAAAAAUCAGCUAAAGUGUUAUCAAUUAGCUACACCAUGCAUUGUCCGUAAUGUUCAUUAACAGCGUCUUUAAAACUGUGUAGCUACCUCACAACCAGUCCUGCUUAUUUAUAAUGCUGGUGCUAUCACCUUUUGCUAGCAGGCUGGCUGGCUGUGACUUACCAUAGCAGUGACAGUGGCAGUCUUCUUGGCUUUAAAGUGACGGAUGACCUUCUAGUGAGCUUGACACAGCAGGAUUAAACAUUUCAUUUAACCAGCACAGGCAGUUGAAAGACGCAGCCUUGCUGCUUCAAUGCAGAUUUUAAUAUUUCCUUAAAUAUAAAACUGGCACUGUACAAACAAACAUUGUUUGUACUCAAAAGAUGAUAAUAGUUUGAUUUGUUUGGUUUCUAUACCAAAUACAAAGCAUUCUCCUGACCACUAACAGGAGCCAAUUCACAAUUCACUAAAGGACUAAAGUAAGUUAAACUUG